rnacentral:tRNA from 1 species
GGAUAGCUCAGUUGGUUAAAGCGUGGUGCUGAUAACGCCAAGGUUGCAGGUUUGAUUCCUGUAUGGGACA